UACGUAGGGUGCAAGCGUUGUCCGGAAUUAUUGGGCGUAAAGAGCUCGUAGGCGGUCUGUUACGUCGGCUGUGAAAACCUAGGGCUCAACCUGGGCCUGCAGCCGAUACGGGCAGACUAGAAUUCGGUAGGGGGAGACUGGAAUUCCUGGUGUAGCGGUGAAAUGCGCAGAUAUCAGGAGGAACACCGGUGGCGAAGGCGGGUCUCUGGGCCGAUAUUGACGCUGAGGAGCGAAAGCGUGGGGAGCGAACAGG
rnacentral:rRNA from 1 species